rnacentral:ncRNA from 2 species
CGAGGCAACUCUGGAGAACAGCGCGACCCACCGGUCACGCUUACCGAAGGGGAACAGCGCAGCGCGCUAAAACUCUCAGGUUUCAGGACAGAGCGGGGAGG